UACAGAGGGUGCAAGCGUUAAUCGGAAUUACUGGGCGUAAAGCGUGCGUAGUCGGUUAUUUAAGUCGGGUGUGAAAGCCCCGGGCUCAACCUGGGAAUUGCAUUCGAUACUGGAUAGCUAGAGUUCGGCAGGGGGAAGCGGAAUUUCCGGUGUAGCGGUGAAAUGCGUAGAUAUCGGAAGGAACAUCAGUGGCGAAAGCGGCUUCCUGGACCAGAACUGACGAUCAGGCACGAAAGCGUGGGGAGCAAACAGGG
rnacentral:rRNA from 1 species